rnacentral:tRNA from 1 species
GCCCUCGUAGCUCAGCGGAUCAGAGCGCCGGCCUUCUAAACCGGAUGUCGGCCGUUCGAAUCGGCCCGAGGGCACCA